rnacentral:rRNA from 1 species
UACGGGGGGAGCAAGCGUUGUUCGGAUUUACUGGGCGUAAAGGGCGCGUAGGCGGCCACUGCAAGUCAGUUGUGAAAUCUCCGGGCUUAACCCGGAAAGGUCAACUGAUACUGCAGGGCUAGAGUGCAGAAGGGGCAACUGGAAUUCUCGGUGUAGCGGUGAAAUGCGUAGAUAUCGAGAGGAACACCUGCGGCGAAGGCGGGUUGCUGGGCUGAUACUGACGCUGAGGAGCGAAAGCGUGGGGAGCGAACAGG